rnacentral:snoRNA from 1 species
CUUAAGAUGAUAUUAGCAAAAAUAUGGAAUUACCGUCAGAUUAGACUAUUUUGUCAAUUGUUGAG